CAAAAUUUUUUGUUUUCUCUAGAUGGGUAGGGGAGUGGGUCGCAAGAGUGGCAGGCAAGCCUCAACACCUCGCACUACGAGUUUCCAUGCAGGGGAAUCGCAGUUCUUUUUCGUCGGUCGUGUCGGUUAGAUCAAUUGGUGCGCGCACUCGCGAACGGUUUUAAUUUUGUUUGAACAAUUUUUCCCAUGCAGAUGUUCGCAAGAGUGUUAGGGCAUUGUAUAAAUUAAACAAACCGAUCUCGAUCGGCGAUCGCUUACGUUAUCUCGUUUUUGGGGCCCAAACAAGACGCCUGCAGUGCAAACAAACAAACAUCGUGUUCGAUAACUUGUUGCAAAAAAAUGAACAACAACAAAAAUAUACAAACACGAAAAAGAGUUAAAUUAUCGUUUUAAAGAGAUAAACAAGAAAAGUGGAGAAAGAAGGAGCGAGAAAAACGGUUCCUUUCAAUUUCUUUUGCCCACAAACAAAAGUGAAAUUUUUUUUGAACUUGAAAGGGGAACCGAGACGAAAGUGAACGGUGAAUACUGAACAAACUCACCAUAUGGGUGAUUUACAGCGAUACUAUUCCGAUUGUAUGAUUUUAUUUCAUAAUACUUUAAUAUUUUUUUUUUAUUCCAAAAAAAUGAUAAUGUAUUUUAAUCAUUUUGAAUAUAAUUAAAAAUUUUAAUUAAUUCGUGAAUAAAUUUUUUAAUGAUGCACAAUACUGGCUGAU